ACGCGAGCUGGGUUCAGAACGUCGUGAGACAGUUCGGUCCCUAUCCGUCGUGGGCGUAGGAAAUUUGAGAGGAGCUGUCCUUAGUACGAGAGGACCGGGAUGGACACACCGCUGGUGUACCAGUUGUCUUGCCAAAGGCAUAGCUGGGUAGCUAUGUGUGGAAGGGAUAAGUGCUGAAAGCAUCUAAGCAUGAAGCCCCCCUCAAGAUGAGAUUUCCCAUUACGCAAGUAAGUAAGAUCCCUCAAAGACGAUGAGGUAGAUAGGUUCGAGGUGGAAGUGUGGCGACACAUGGAGCUGACGAAUACUAAUCGAUCGAGGACUUAACCAAA
rnacentral:rRNA from 1 species